CCCCUCUCAGGGUUGCACCUGAAGAGUUUCCAGUACUCUACCAGUUUUGACUAUGGUUGGGAGAGUCAAGCAGAGGAAUAUCCAUUCCAGUCCUAGCUUGGGCAGUGGCUAGUGAGUGGAAGGCAAUCUGCUACAAGG